rnacentral:rRNA from 14 species
AUAAAGCUCCUGGCUUAAUCCGAUGUUCUGUAAGGAAAUCGCAAGGUGGGGAGUUUGACUGGGGCGGUACAUCUGUCAAACAAUAACGCAGGUGUCCUAAGAUCAGCUCAGUAAGGACAGAAAUCUUAUCUAGAGCAAAAGGGUAAAUGCUGGUUUGAAAUUACUUCUCAGUGCGAGGUAAUGGGCAGAAAUGCAGGCCUAU